AUGAACGCUGGCGGCGUGCCUAAUACAUGCAUGUCGAGCGAACAGAUGAGGAGCUUGCUCCUCUGACGUUAGCGGCGGACGGGUGAGUAACACGUGGAUAACCUACCUAUAAGACUGGGAUAACUUCGGGAAACCGGAGCUAAUACCGGAUAAUAUAUUGAACCGCAUGGUUCAAUAGUGAAAGACGGUUUUGCUGUCACUUAUAGAUGGAUCCGCGCCGCAUUAGCUAGUUGGUAAGGUAACGGCUUACCAAGGCAACGAUGCGUAGCCGACCUGAGAGGGUGGUUCGCCCACACUGAAACGGGACAAGGGCCCGAACCCUUAGGGAGGCAGGAGUUGGGAAUCUUUCCGAAUGGGCGAAAGCCUGACGGAGCAACGCCGCGUGAGUGAUGAAGGUCUUCGGAUCGUAAAACUCUGUUAUUAGGGAAGAACAAAUGUGUAAGUAACUAUGCACGUCUUGACGGUACCUAAUCAGAAAGCCACGGCUAACUACGUG
rnacentral:rRNA from 1 species